rnacentral:rRNA from 1 species
UGAGGAAUAUUGGUCAAUGGCCGGGAGGCUGAACCAGCCAAGUCGCGUGAGGGAAGACGGUCCUACGGAUUGUAAACCUCUUUUGUCGGGGAGCAAAGGCGGCUACGCGUAGCCGGAUGAGAGUACCCGAAGAAAAAGCAUCGGCUAACUCCGUGCCAGCAGCCGCGGUAAUACGGAGGAUGCGAGCGUUAUCCGGAUUUAUUGGGUUUAAAGGGUGCGCAGGCGGAGCGCCAAGUCAGCGGUCAAAUAUCGGGGCUCAACCCCGACCUGCCGUUGAAACUGGCGUUCUAGAGUGGGCGAGAAGUAUGCGGAAUGCGUGGUGUAGCGGUGAAAUGCAUAGAUAUCACGCAGAACUCCGAUUGCGAAGGCAGCAUACCGGCGCCCAACUGACGCUCAUGCACGAAAGCGUGGGUAUCGAACAGGAUUAGAUACCCUGGUAGUCCACGCAGUAAACGAUGAAUACUAACUGUCCGGGCCGAAUGGGGCCUGGGUGGUACAGCGAAAGCGUUAAGUAUUCCACCUGGGGAGUACGCCGGCAACGGUGAAACUCAAAGGAAUUGACGGGGGCCCGCACAAGCGGAGGAACAUGUGGUUUAAUUCGAUGAUACGCGAGGAACCUUACCCGGGCUUGAACUGUGCCCGACUGCCUCAGAGAUGGGGCUUCCAGCAAUGGCAGGCAUGGAGGUGCUGCAUGGUUGUCGUCAGCUCGUGCCGUGAGGUGUCGGCUUAAGUGCCAUAACGAGCGCAACCCCUCCCGCCAGUUGCCAUCAGGUAAAGCUGGGCACUCUGGGGGCACUGCCACCGCAAGGUGUGAGGAAGGUGGGGAUGACGUCAAAUCAGCACGGCCCUUACGUCCGGGGCUACACACGUGUUACAAUGGGAGGUCACAGAGGGCUGCUACCCGGCGACGGGACGCCAAUCCCCAAACCCUCCCUCAGUACGGACUGGAGUCUGCAACCCGACUCCACGAAGCUGGAUUCGCUAGUAAUCGCGCAUCAGCCACGGCGCGGUGAAUACGUUCCC